GAUGAACGCUGGCGGCGUGCCUAACACAUGCAAGUCGAGCGAACAGACGAGGAGCUUGCUCCUCUGACGUUAGCGGCGGACGGGUGAGUAACACGUGGAUAACCUACCUAUAAGACUGGGAUAACUUCGGGAAACCGGAGCUAAUACCGGAUAAUAUAUUGAACCGCAUGGUUCAAUAGUGCAAGAGGGUUUUGCUGUCACUUAUAGAUGGAUCCGCGCCGCCUUAGCUAGUUGGUAAGGUAACGGCUUACCAAGGCGACGAUGCGUAGCCGACCUGAGAGGGUGAUCGGCCACACUGGAACUGAGACACGGUCCAGACUCCUACGGGAGGCAGCAGUAGGGAAUCUUCCGCAAUGGGCGAAAGCCUGACGGAGCAACGCCGCGUGAGUGAUGAAGGUCUUCGGAUCGUAAACCUCUGUUAUUAGGGAAGAACAAAUGUGUAAGUAACUAUGCACGUCUUGACGGUACCUAAUCAGAAAGCCACGGCUAACUACGUG
rnacentral:rRNA from 1 species